UGUCUUUCCCCUCGCUCGAGCGUUCUCCUCCACCAAAAAGAAUCCUCCUGCUCCAGUCACCUGGAUUUACGCCGCCGCCUCCCUUCUCAACCUCCAGCGCCGCUGCAUCCCUCCCAUCCAUCUCCUCUGCCCCCCUCAACUGCGUCGCAACCUCCGCCAACUCCUCCGCCGGACCCACAACGUCGCCGCAUUCCCCCUCACCGCCGAACCCUUCUCCCCCUCUUGUCCACACCACUCUUGCAGAUUUCUUCGCGCAAAUCAACGGUGGAACAACGGAUUUGUGAGCAUUCUCUCGUCCCCUUCAGUCUCAUGGCGGCGCACGCCGACCAUGGGCUAGGGUUUUGAUCUCCCCAUAUCUCUCUGUCCUGCUGGGAGCCUGGCAACCCUGCGCAGCUGGGCUAGACCGUGCCGGCGGCUGAGCUGGGGCGUGACGGCGCAGGUAGGCGCGAGGCGGGGGUCGACCGCAGAAGCAAGUUCCUGGCGAGGGCGACGAGUGCUAGCGGUCGCAAAACCGGCAGCAGCACCUCCUCUACUUCAGUUUCACUAUUCUGGCGAUUCACUGAUUUGUUCCUCCAAAUGAGGUAUAAACCUAACCCACUGUUGAUUCGUGAAGAACUUCUGCAUGUCUUAAUUGUUCUAGAAAAUAAUUGACCAUCGAUCACAGCAUGUCAAUUAAGAUAUCACCUGAACUGCAAGGUUUAUAAUUAGCUACCUAGCUAUAGUGAACUGUGAAUUUAAUUGUAAUGCUUAAUUAUGAGAUUUGUAACUUACAGAGAAAGGUAGGAAAGGUGGAGAAUGAAAUUGCUGAAACAAUAAUGUGUUAUGUUUUUUUGCUUCCAUAAAACUUGUCCAAUGGCAAUGUUCUAUUAGUCUGGUUCCUUCAGGCUUCAUCUGAUGGAAGAAGAAAUGUGUAGAGAAGGAUUCCAGAAGAACUGAACAAGCUGCUGAAAGAUAAAUUUUGUUUGAGCAAUUGAUUAUUUAGCUGAAAGUUGCAGACUGUUAAGCACUGUUUCACGGUAUUUUUUUUGCCAUCGUUUGGUAGUUGUUUUUUCAAACAAAUAGGAUGACUAACAAAUGUUUGACCAUGCUCAAAACUGCUGAUUCAGAUGUUGUAGGCAGUAAUGUCGCUCCUGUUGUUUCUUCCUGCACUGAUCUCAUAGUCCUGACUCUGCAGAAUCCUUCAUUGUUUUUGUUAGAAAUAAUAAAGGCAAGGGAUCACAUUGUUUAGCCUGUACUAAUCAACUGAAAAUUUAUCGCGGAUACAUAUAGGCAUAGGCCAAAGCUGCAGUUGGCAUGCCAACGUACCAACGUUUACUUGUUAGUUGGACUUUUUUACCGGGCGUAAUUUGUCCUUGACACAUAGUCACAUACAGAAUGCCAACUUUUGGUGGAUGCUUCUAAUCGAGGAAACUGGUAUACUAUAUAUUGCAUAGGACCAUAGUACAUGACUGUCAUGAGAUGGGAGUAACUAAUUUGUUUUUAAGGUACUUUCUGUUUCAGUUUCACACCAUUUUUGUUGAUGAUGCCUGGUUAAUCGUUUUCCUGCCGUGUUCAGAAGUGCUUACUGUUACAGGUCUUUUGUUUGAGAGUCGUUGCCUCCCUUCAGAAAUUAAUAAAUUAGACGGUGACUAUUCUUUGGUGACCAGAAAUUCUCAGGUACUGCAGUGCCAAUGAUUCUUGUAAUCGACAAGGUAGAUCGUGUACCAUUUGUUUCAGGAGAACUAUUCUUUAGUGGGGUUUUCAGAAAAAAUGUACACACAUGUGCAGUCAGUGGUAAAGUCAUUGCUGAUUUUGAGAGUGCAGUAAUAGAGGUGAGAGGCCUUGAGCCCGUGCUUCCUGGUGGACAUGCAUGCUGGUGGACGACGGUGGACUGUAAACCAGGCAAUUGGAACAACUCCUGAGGACGCGAGAAGCAUUCAAAAGACUAGAGUCGUCAAUCAUUGAGAAACUGCCAAUGGACUUUUCGACUAUCGAUUUGAGAGACGUUGCAUUGGCUCUAGCAACAAUUAAUGGGGAGGACAUAUCUAAAGAAGUUCUGAGUGGCAUAUUCAGCAAGUUCUGCAUUGGAAAAUGAUACCGUGUCAUGUGGAUUCUUGUAGUACUAUGCACAUGGGAUGAUAUGUACAAUCUAAACCACUGAAUAUCCUUUAGAAAAAACCACUGAAUAUGAUGCACACAUAGGUGGAUAUUUUUUUACUGGGAAGUAAUUUAUUCUUGACACAUAGAGAAUGUCAACUUUUGGUGGAUGCUUCUAAUGGAGUAAAUCUGUAUAAUUAU